AAGUCUUUGCUAAUGAAGCAUUUUGAUUUCGGCUCAAAAGAGAUGGUGUACGAAUCCAUAAGGCUUA
rnacentral:tRNA from 1 species